rnacentral:lncRNA from 1 species
AGAGACAAGGUUUCACCAUGUUGCCGGAGUUGAUCUUGAACUCCUGGGCUUAAGCCGCCUCAACUUCUCAAGGUUUUGGAAUUACAGGUGUGAGCCCCUGUGCCUGGCCUGAAGGUUCCUGGUGGGAAGAGUCACAUCUAAUCUCAAGAAGCUUUUCUUUUGUAGGAUGCUACAUCAUUCUCAGAUGGGUAUGUUUUCCUCAUUUGACUAGCUACUAAUUGUGUCCAUUCUUCUAACCAAUUGCUGAAC